GGAAGGGUGGCCGAGUGGUUUAAGACGCAUCUCUCGAAAAGAUGUAUGGUCGUAAGAUCAUCGUGAGUUCGAAUCUCACCCCUUCCG
rnacentral:tRNA from 1 species